UACGUAGGGGGCUAGCGUUGUCCGGAUUUAUUGGGCGUAAAGAGCGUGUAGGCGGCCUUACAGGUCAGCUGUGAAAACUCGAGGCUCAACCUCGAGAUGUCGGCGGAAACCGUCUGGCUAGAGUCCGGAAGAGGAGAGUGGAAUUCCUGGUGUAGCGGUGAAAUGCGCAGAUAUCAGGAAGAACACCUAUGGCGAAGGCAGCUCUCUGGGACGGUACUGACGCUGAGACGCGAAAGCGUGGGGAGCGAACAGG
rnacentral:rRNA from 1 species